rnacentral:rRNA from 1 species
CCUACGGGCGGCAGCAGUGGGGAAUAUUGGACAAUGGGCGAAAGCCUGAUCCAGCCAUGCCGCGUGUGUGAAGAAGGCCUUCGGGUUGUAAAGCACUUUCAGUGGGGAAGAAAGCCUUGGGGCUAAUACCCUCGAGGAAGGACAUCACCCACAGAAGAAGCACCGGCUAACUCCGUGCCAGCAGCCGCGGUAAUACGGAGGGUGCGGGCGUUAAUCGGAAUUACUGGGCGUAAAGCGCGCGUAGGCGGUCUGAUAAGCCGGUUGUGAAAGCCCCGGGCUCAACCUGGGAACGGCAUCCGGAACUGUCAGGCUAGAGUGCAGGAGAGGAAGGUAGAAUUCCCGGUGUAGCGGUGAAAUGCGUAGAGAUCGGGAGGAAUACCAGUGGCGAAGGCGGUCUUCUGGACUGACACUGACGCUGAGGUGCGAAAGCGUGGGUAGCAAACAGGAUUAGAUACCCUGGUAGUC